rfam:Schistosoma rodhaini strain Burundi genome assembly, scaffold: SROB_scaffold0001170
AUCCAGAUGACGAAACCCAAAUAAGACGAAACGUGCGUCCUGGAU